rnacentral:rRNA from 1 species
UCGCCUGUUUAACAAAAACAUCUCCUUUUGUGUUUAUAUAAGGUAGGGCCUGCCCACUGAAGUUUAUUUGAAGGGCCGCGGUAUUAUGACCGUGCAAAGGUAGCAUAAUCAUUAGUCUUUUAAUUGAAGGCUGGAAUGAAUGGUUUGACGAGGUGAUGACUGUCUCAUUAUAAUAUAUAGAAGUUAACUUUUAAGUUAAAAGGCUUAAAUAUUGGUGGAGGACGAGAAGACCCUAUAGAGCUUUAUAUAUAUAUGGCUAGAUUUGUAUUUGGUGGUUUAUAAAAAUUUAGACUUAGUAUAUUAUGUUGGGGUGACAUAAAGAUAUAAUUAACUCUUUAUUUUAGGAACAUUGAUGUAUGGAUUUUUGAUCCAUUUUUAGUGAUUAUAAGAUUAAGUUACCUUAGGGAUAACAGCGUAAUUUUUCUUGAGAGUUCAUAUCAACAGAGAAGAUUGCGACCUCGAUGUUGGAUUAAGGAAUAUAAUUGGAUGCAGCAGUUUAAGUUAAUAGGUCUGUUCGACCUUUAAAUCCUUACGUCAUCUGAGUCAGACCCGGA